UCUUUCAAAUGGAAAUCUCCAAAUGACAGAUUAUGUUAGUAAAAAAGCUGCCGUUUUCUCUUUAAUACUCAAAUGGAUUCUUAAGAUUGCAAUGUUGGCAGCUUUCAUUGCUUGGCUUACUGUUGUUUUCAUGUAUCCGAUAGAGUCACUUCAAACAUGGUUUAAAAAUUGGACUCAAGCCUCUGCUGAUUCUUUUCUUGGCUUUACAGGAGGUGUAUUUCUGAUAUUCAAUGGGCCACUCAUCAUUAUUGCAUUACUUUCUAUACCAUACCUUACCCUUUGCUCCAGGGAAGAGGAGCUCCAAAAGUAUGUUUUUAGCUACACACAAUUCAUUAGGACAAAAUUUCCUAUGUUUUUAUGUCAACUUCAUCUUAAUUUCUUAUGGUAUUGGGAGUUAGAAUGCAGGGAGAGGGAGUAGGGUUUUCAGUGUGCCACUGUGUUCUGAUUCGUUUUUUCUGGGUUUGAAUAGUUACAUUGACAAAGAUAAAGGGGGGCAGGGGGCCUUUUCCCCAAGCUUCCUAAUGAAAUAGUCUCUACUGCAAUGAAUCAUGAGCCCUAAGGAUAGACAUUUGGCAAGCAGAUAUCAAAGCACACUGAAAGUCCUUUAACUCCCAACCUGCACCUGCAAAUGAAGAUUUAUGCUUGAAAGAUGCAUUUGUACUACCAUUAUAAAAAUCCCACAGCAAGCCUUUUCAAUAAAACAGCUCGAGCAUUUCUAUUCA